rnacentral:rRNA from 1 species
GAUGAACGCUGGCGGCGUGCCUAACACAUGCAAGUCGAGCGGAGAUGUAGCAAUACAUCUUAGCGGCGGACGGGUGAGUAACGCGUGGGUAACCUGCCCUAUACAGGGGGAUAACACCGAGAAAUUGGUGCUAACACCGCAUAAGCGCACAGUGCUGCAUGGUACAGUGUGAAAAAAUUUAUUGGUAUAGGAUGGACCCGCGUCUGAUUAGCUAGUUGGUGAGGUAACGGAUCACCAAGGCGACGAUCAGUAGCCGACCUGAGAGGGUGAUCAGCCACGUUGGGACUGAUACACGGCCCAAACUCCUGCGGGAGGCGGCAGUGGGGAAUAUUGCACUAUGGGCGCAAGCCUGAUGCAGCAACGCCGCGUGAAGGAAGAAGGUCUUCGGAUUGUAAACUUCUAUCAUAUGGGAAGAUAAUGACGGUACCAUACUAAGAAGCCCCGGCUAACUACGUGCCAGCAGCCGCAGUAA